rnacentral:misc_RNA from 1 species
CUCCGAUUCACACGACGCGGCGGCUAUCCCUCCCGCCAUGUAUUGUCCACUCGAGCGAGCCUUUUACCGCCAUUUUCUUGGCGCCAAACUCGCCUAUCCUUUCCCGCCACGCUUCCCCUCCUCCCCGUCCUCCUAUAAACGCCCGCCACGAUUCCUCUGCCCCACCCCGCACACCGCGCCACGCUUGCAGUACCAGCAAUCCAGAGCGGGGCAGAUCUACCGAGAUCCGCGUCACAGAGGAGAGAGAGAUCGCCAUGGUGGCGGCGCUGGGACCCGGCCGGUUCUACGGCAGCGGCCUGCCGAGGCCACGCUUCUUCCCGGGCGACCGCGUGGACCCGCCGGCGUCCGUCACCGACCCGCUCCUCGACUGGGCGCGCGAGGCGCACUGGUCCAUGGGCGGCUUCGGCGUGAAGCGCCUCCGCCUGCAGGGCCGCAUCGAGGGCUCCAUCGACAAGCUCCGCCGCCGCACGCGCCGCGACGCCAGGGCCAAGACCAAGGCCCGCUCUGCUGGCCACGUGCCCGCCUCGCUGUCCCCGCUCGGCUCCGAGGACGAGGCGGAGGAGGUGGCGGCGCCGGAGCGGGCGCUCGUCGACGACGACGUGGACUCGGACGGGUCCGACGAGUCGGAGGGGGAGGAGGAGGACGAGCCCCUCGCUGCUAUCGUCACCGCCGCCAAGAAGAGGCGCGCGAGGAAGCUCAGCGACGAGUUCGACCGCAUCGCCGCGGAGCAGCAGUACCAGCUGGUCGUGGAGAAGAAGCGGAAGGCGGGUGCGGCCAAGCCGGCGAGGACGUCGCCGAGGAAGCAGGCUUCUGCACCCGCCGCUGGGUCGUCGCCGAAGAGAAAGCAGGCUUCUGCACCCGCCGCUGGGGCGCCGGCGAUGGUGUCGCCAAAGAGGAAGGCCGCCGCACCGGCCGCUGCGCCCUCGUCGGCGGCUGGGGCAAGGAGGACCUCGCCGAGGAACAAGCACUGAGCGUAGGUCGCUGUAUGUGCUGUUUUGUUUAUUGAUGUGAAUCUUGCGAUCGUGGGGUGCUACUCCUGAAAAUGUGUAAUCAGUGGCUGUGCACAAUUGCUGGAUUGGAAUGACCAUGGAAUGGAAUGAAAUCGAUGGUUAUAUCUGAAAUGGAAUUGAAUUGACGGUUA